GGGAUAAGUGGUGUAAUUAGCAUGUGUGGUUUCGGCCUGCAAGGAACAAGUAGUUUUAUCUUAC
rnacentral:tRNA from 1 species